GGUCAAAGCCAGCAGCUGCGGGAUCGUCACACCCUUACCCUUUAAUCCCAGCGAUGCUGAGCCGGCUUCCAUCCCCUCGCUGAGCUAGCCAGCUGUCUGACUGCUUGAAAAUGGCGGAAGAGGAAGAGGGCGGCGUGGAGGAGGGGGACGUGUUCCUAGCAUUUGCCCAGGGUCCCAUUCCUCCUCGGGGGCCCGUGCGGCGGGCUUUGGACAAGAUCUUCCUCGCCUUCUUGGUCCUCUUCCUGACUCUGCUGAUGCUGGAGGCUGCUUACAAACUGCUGUGGCCCCUGCCAUGGGCCAAGUUUCAGGACUGGCUCCUGAGGACCCCUGAGGAGGAGGCAGCUCUGGAACUCUGAGCGUCUUCAUAGACCACCUGUCCUUGCUACUGAGCCCAGCUCACUCAAAGAUUUAUUAUAUGUACGUACACUGUCGCUGUCUUCAGACACCCCAGAAGAGGGCAUCAGAUCUCAUUAAGGAUGGUUGUGAGCCACCAUGUGGUUGCUGGGAUUUGAACUCAGGACCUCUGGAACAGCAGUCAGUGCUCUUAACCGCUGAGCCAUUUCUCCAACCCUUAAGAGUGUAUUUUAUUUCCUUUUGAUUUCCUGCAAGUAUCAUGGUUUCAGUUUUCUUUCUGGCUGUAAGACUCCAUUGUAUGUCCGAACCACAUUUUAUCUGUUUUACGGGCCAGUUGGCUGCUUCUGUUCUUUUGCCUAUUGCAAUCGCUACAGCAAUAAACAUGGAUGUGUA
ensembl:lincRNA